rnacentral:rRNA from 1 species
UCCCAGUUCGGAUUACAGCCUGCAACCCGGCUGUAUGAAGCUGGAAUCGCUAGUAAUCGUAAAUCAGAAUGUUGCGGUGAAUACGUUCCCGGGUCUUGUACACACCGCCCGUCACACCAUGGGAGCCAGGAAUGCCCGAAGCCAGUGGCCUAACCGCAAGGGAGGAGCUGUCGAAGGCAGGCCCGGUAACUGGGGUGAAGUCGUAACAAGGUAUC